UACGGAGGGAGCUAGCGUUGUUCGGAAUUACUGGGCGUAAAGCGUGCGCAGGCGGUUUUGUAAGCCAGGUGUGAAAUCCCCGGGCUCAACCUGGGAAUGGCAUUUGGGACUGCAAGGCUGGAGUGCGGCAGAGGAGACUGGAAUUCCUGGUGUAGCAGUGAAAUGCGUAGAUAUCAGGAGGAAUACCGAUGGCGAAGGCAGGUCUCUGGGCUGACACUGACGCUCAUGCACGAAAGCGUGGGGAGCAAACAGG
rnacentral:rRNA from 1 species